rnacentral:rRNA from 1 species
AUGGUGGGCACUCCCUCUCUGACAUAUUCGACCGUCGGUGAUGGUCGCUACUCCCUUCGUUCCCGAGUGCAUUACAUCAAAAUGUCUAGCACACAAGAACAAAGGAGAAGCGGCCCCCACAAGAAAAAUCGAGAUUCUUCCUCUCUGACAUUUGUGAUCGUCAGUGAUGAUCGCUCUUUCAUUCAUUCGAAGUGCAUUACACCAAAAUGUCUAGCACCUUCGAAUGAACAAGAAGCGACCCCCACGACAACAGUCGGGAUUCUUACUCUCUCAUAUUUCGAUAGUAUAUGGUGGACUCUCCCUCAUAGAUAUUUUGACCGUUGGUGA